CCCUUAGAUGUUCUGGGCCGCACGCGUGCUACACUGAUGCAUUCAACGAGUCUAAAACCUGGUCUGAUAGGGCUGGGUAAUCUUUUGAAAGUGCAUCGUGAUUGGGAUAGAUGAUUGCAAUUCUUCAUCUUUAACGAGGAAUGCCUAGUAAACGCAAGUCAUCAGCUUGCAUUGAUUACGUCCCUGCCCUUUGUACACACCGCCCGUCGCUCCUACCGAUUGAAUGAUCCGAUGAAUACCAUGGAUUGAGAGUACGAAUAGGUUCGCUUAUUUCUGCUGCUCGAGAAGUGGAGUAAAUCUUAUCAUUUAGAGGAAGGAGAAGUCGUAACA
rnacentral:rRNA from 1 species